UACGUAGGGUGCAAGCGUUGUCCGGAAUUAUUGGGCGUAAAGAGCUCGUAGGCGGUUUGUCGCGUCUGCCGUGAAAGUCCGGGGCUCAACUCCGGAUCUGCGGUGGGUACGGGCAGACUAGAGUGAUGUAGGGGGAGACUGGAAUUCCUGGUGUAGCGGUGAAAAUGCGCAGAUAUCAGGAGGAACACCGAUGGCGAAGGCAGGUCUCUGGGCCGAUACUGACGCUGAGGAGCGAAAGCGUGGGGGAGCGAACAGGA
rnacentral:rRNA from 1 species